GAGCUACUAGCCUUCUUGGAAUGCCUACUAUGUGCCAGACAUGAAAGCAGAUGCUUUUUUCAAAUACUUCUGUCGGAUGAACUUUCUUAUUAUUGUGGUACAGAUGAGGAGGCAAAAUCAUUUGUCUAAGACCCCACUGUUUCAGCUGCAAGCUUUCGUGGCUCCUCAGUUUGCAUUUUUUCCUCACUGCAGUAUCACUUUGUGAAGGAGGUCUGAAGUCUUCAAAUGAAAAUAGAGUUUUCUCCUUAUAUUUUACUUUCUCCAGCUGCAAAGCUGAAGGCAAAGCUGAAGAAUCCUGGACACUCUCCUUUGUUCAAAUAAAACUUCUAUUUACACAGGAUUUGCUAAAGGAGUACAAGGAAAUGGCAGAGAUAGCAUUAAGCUCACACAGCAGUUCCGGAAAGCGCCCCUUCAUUGUUCUCAGGCUCGUACCUGCAGUAACAGGGCCUAUAGGCUUUGAACACAAGACAACUGAGUUCGGAACCUCAGAAGAAUUCUGGAUAUGGUACAAAAAAAUUCAGGUUCAAAUUCCUGUUGUGCUCAAGUUUAGAUAUACGAUGAUCAUUGCUUUUUAAACCUGCUGGGGCUUAUUUUUUCAUCUGCGAUAUAAAGAUGAUUAUACUAAUUUCUUCAAAGGAUGACAUGAGCAGGAAAUGAGCUAAUGUAUGGAGACAGUUUCAUGAACUGUCCAGCACUCUACAUAUAUAAGAGGUAAUGACUGUUUUUCCUAGCCCAUGUACUUCAGGUCUCGGCUGUCCCUCUCCUGCCCUCAGGUCUGGCAAACCCCACCUAUCAACUAGCCAUGGCUGCUGUGCUGUUUCAGGGCCCUGCUUGAUGAUCCAAGCGGAUGUGGGGUCUUCCUAAAGACAAUGCAUUGUGAUUGUGACCAGAAGGAAACUUAAGUCCAAGUCCUCAGUGAAUUAUCUGGGACUCAGUGUCUUCAGCUGUAAAAUAAAGUUAUUGACUACAUUUUGAAAUUCCGUUAUAGAAAUGCCUGCCCCAUAAGCAGGCAUGAUUUAUAUUGGGGCACUGUAUCUGUCUCCCGUAUGAAGAAAAAAGCUUAUAGUUCAUUCUUUUUCUUCCCUGGGUUUUUGAGUCUAAGCCCUUAUUUUCCACAAGCUGGGAAACUGGAAGAAGGGAAACACCGCAAUAAAUCUGCUGAAUUAGCCACCACCCCUUUCUCCUCAUCCCCACCAGGCUUGGGAGCCUGAACCACCUACAGGCCUCCCCACCCUUCCUAAGGAGAACAGGAGCCACUUAUCAGCUCCAGCUUUGGAGCUUUGCAAGC
rnacentral:lncRNA from 1 species